UACGUAGGGUGCGAGCGUUAAUCGGAAUUACUGGGCGUAAAGGGUGCGCAGGCGGUUUUGUAAGUCAGAUGUGAAAUCCCCGGGCUUAACCUGGGAAUGGCGUUUGAAACUGCAAGGCUAGAGUGUAGCAGAGGGGAGUGGAAUUCCAUGUGUAGCAGUGAAAUGCGUAGAGAUGUGGAAGAACACCGAUGGCGAAGGCAGCUCCCUGGGUUGACACUGACGCUCAUGCACGAAAGCGUGGGGAGCAAACAGGAUUAGAUACCCUGGUAGUCCACGCCCUAAACUAUGUCAACUAGUUGUCGGAUCUAAUUAAGGAUUUGGUAACGUAGCUAACGCGUGAAGUUGACCGCCUGGGGAGUACGAUCGCAAGAUAAAACUCAAA
rnacentral:rRNA from 1 species